rnacentral:lncRNA from 1 species
CUAUAAAAUGUCUUCGAGACCUAAAGAUCUGAUCUACAUGUAAAAAAGGUAGCACAAAAUUUCCUAUAUAGGGCACAAAGAUGAAGUGUUGAUUAAUUGCGGUCCAACUCCGUAUGUGGAUAAGCCAAUCCUAGAGCACAUCCCAUGCUUAAUACCGCUCAAGAAAAAUGGCUUGCAUGUACUCUAGAUAGCAGUCAGCAACCUGCAAUAACAUUGGUUACUUGUAUUAUAGCUUUAACAUGACUAAAAAGGUUCUAUGGUACAUGAGUAAUUGUUUACUUGGAAUAGCAUCUGACCUUUACAAACUAAACCACUGAAGCAAAGUUGCCGUCCCAUUGAUCCACUAUUGCUCAGGAGUCAGCACUGCAAAGAAAAGACAACCAUUAGAAGCAUUCUAGUGAAAUUGUGUACAUCAAAAAACUGGUAGAAAUCCAUAACAAAACAAGGGAAUGGUAGCAAGAAAGCAGGCAUCAGUAACAGAAACAGUAACGUUUUAAGCAAAACAUUCUAAGGGAUACGUUUAAAAAGCGUUUGACCAAGGUUGUAAUAAUGAAUCCUAGGUUGAUCAAAAACUCCCUGAACUGCCAUACUGCUAAAGAUAAGGGCAACACAAUGAUAUAUCCAGAAUAGAUCACCCAGCAGGAGCUUCCUAAUAUCGUGCACUGGGAGGAAGGCCAGGAAAAAUAAGGUAUUUAGGACUGUACACUUGCUCAACUACAGCUUUUAUGCUGAUGGUUCUUCAUUUUUCGUACCCCACUGUUCCUCACUACUGUUUCCAUUCACAAGGACAGCACCAUCAGUUGAACCCUCAGCCUCAACCUCAACAGCUUCGUCUUGACUUUCUUCUUCUACUCCGUCAUCCUCUGCAUCACCCUCAACAGCAUCUUCUUGACUCUCUUCUACUCCACCAUCCUCAAUAACCUGUUCAACAACGAUCAAUGUUACCAGUUCUGCAAGAACGGUGAGCUUGAACAGAAGCAUGAAACUUUGGAAGUGCACACAACUAACCCUACUGAACUCAAUUUAUUAGAUAAUAGGUCAACAAACUAGAAACUAACAGGAGACAGUCCUGUACCAUUUAUAGCAACUCAGAGGUUCUCAUCUUUAUAGUCAAAACAUAUUUCUAUUAGUUUUAAGGUACGAAAUGAAACAGUGCAGAACAUCAUACUCAUAAGCAAAGAAGUUAAACUACCAGCAUGUUCCUAAGCAAUUCAAUUUAGUGAAACUACAAUAUGCACACUACUCCCUCCAUUCCAAAUUAUAGAUCACUUUAGCCUUGUCCCAAUUAAAACUUUUCUAACUUUGACCAAGUUUUAGGAAAAGCACCAACACAAUAUCAAAUUAGUUUCAUUAAAUUCUCCAUGGAAUGUCUUGAUAGUGCAUUUAUUUUGAAAUAGUAGAUGUUAGCAUAGUUUUCUAAAAAUUUGGUCAAAGUGAGGGAAGUUUGACUUAGGACAAAACUGAAGCGACCUACAAAAUGAAAGAGGGACUACAGAUUACCAUAUUGUCAAGAUCAAAAUUAGGAUAUUUCACAUAGUAAAUAAGAUGCAACUAACAUCAGAUAACCACCAAACCUUUUUUUUUGCGAGGAAUAAAUCAUAAUAGUACCUCAUGAACAGUAUCUUCAUUAUCAUCUGGUACCAUCUCUUCAUGUACAUGCAUAUUUUUAAAAGCUUCCACUAAACUCUCAUUUGACCUUUCAGCAUGAAUCAUGUACUCCUCGGCAGGUGGAUAGAUACCCCUGUUCAAACGAUUUUUUUAUGUGUGUCAGUAAAAGAUGAUAGCUUGGAAAAAUAUAUGAGUAUCGACAUCACUUCCGCUUUUCAACAGAUGAGUGCAAUUAAAGCACCCUCAUCUGAUGCAAGAGGUAAUCGGAGACAAUACAAAAGGAUACAGUUACAUAUGAAGAUAAAAAAGAACAAAAACCUUUUCGGGGCAACAACAGCUUCUACAUUGAGAGCAAUCUGCCAGUCUUCAAAUAAGUUUGGGUACUCAUUAGGAUCAGCCAGCGACUCUGCUGCUUUUGGGUUUACCUAAAAAAGCAAAUGGAACAAAACAGUGCACAUUUCAUAAGCUUAGACCUGCAAUUUGAAGACAGUGAUGCCCAAGUCUAAACUUAAGACAAAACAAAUAUCACAUGAUUUUAGCAAAUCUUUUAAGACACAUCCACCCUGAAUUUAGUGUACUAAAAUUAUUAGGUAAAUUGUGCUGGACGAAAUUGAAAGCAUCCAUUACAAGUAAAUUCAGAAACAAUUCCAGCAGUGGACUGUACCAGGGUUAUGCUAAAAUAACAAUACCAUGCUUGAGUUUGUAACUUAAGAUGACAAUUUAUCCUGGGAUACGUGCACUAAGACCAAGUUAACCUAAUUAAGAUAUGCAGAAAGAUUUGAGCAUAAGACUGAGUAGAACAGAAGCAAAGGAGACUCAUAGGACAGAAGACCUUCUGGAGAUCCUUUUUCCACAAUGCUACAAUCUCAGGGACUUUGCUAGGAAGAUAAGAUCUUGCCAUCAAUGCUGCUUCCGGAAUACGGUUGCUGUACAAGGGAUAGUAGACGAGUCAAAAUAAGAAACAAAAAAAAAGUAAGGUUAAGCAUGACAAUCUUGCCCAGAUGCCUAUUAUACCUUUCUAUUAGCAACUGAAGACACUCUUCCAGCUUUCCUAGCAUGAAGAAACAAAGGAAAGAAACAUUGUUCUUUCCUUGUUCUUUGGCUACAGAUGCCAAUUUCUUAAUGCCAUCAGCAUCCCCAAGGGAAGAAUACAAAAGCAACAAACCACUGAGGUCCAUAGCAUGUAGAAGACACUCCUCUGCCAUCUCAAGCUGCAGAAAAUUGUAUGGCAUGUGAGUAAGCGACUUCAAGUUAAAUUUUUGCAUGAUUGCAUCAUAGUUUUACAUGGAACACUAUUUUGUUAAAUCUAAGGAAAUAGCUAUAAGCAUCUCCUUACCAUCAAACUUUUAGUAUAACUUUCUCUUUAUAAGUACCCUCGUAUUAUCAUAAAUAAUUUUCUGCUUCAUAAUAGCUAUUGUUUGUCCCAGUCACAAAUAACUAAUGCUUUGGACAGUGACAUGGUCACCAAGAAACUACUUUUAAGUCUUUGACCACUAAUUACUAGUCCAAAAUGUAUGCAAAAUAUAGUGAAUUGACAUGUUGAAACUACUUUUGAAGAGACAUCUAGCAAUGAAACUGAUGAAUGCACGCAACAUAAAAUGUUCAAAGGUUAUUCAUAGUGAAUCUAAACCUCUGCAAAAUAUAGCAAGUUUACAAAAGUUCAAUCAAAGUAUUCUCUGAUGGUCAAAGUUUAAGCCUGUCAAAUUCACACAACAUAAAACGACACUUAUCUGCAACCAGAGGAAGUAAUAAUUAAGAAAACAUUAUGGCUGAACCACACUAUAUAAGGACAACAUAGAUAGCAGCAUUGCGCAUGCAAGAUAAACAAUACACCCGGUAGCUGUACCUUUCCAUUUGACAUAGCUAACUCCCCUAAUUGCUUCCACUUGGACUCACUUUGCACCUCGGUAGCAAUCGCCUGCAAAGCAACUACUAUUAGAAAAAAAUCAAAAAAUAAAUACUUUCAUGAAAUUGUGGAGAAGAAAAGAAAUCGAUUGUGCCUUCGCAAUUUCAAGUCGACCAAGCUGCACAGCCAGGUCAAAUUUGUAAUUAGUGUCAGUUGCUAUCUCGAGGGCUUCCUCCAACAUUCCCCGUGAUUCCAAGAAACGUGCCACACUGCAAAACGAAAGGUUAUGUUUCUAUGCUAAACCUGACUUGACACUACAAUAAUUACCAUGACAUUGAGCACCUGUCAUAUUGUUCCUUUGGUAUAGAUGAUAAAACAUCAUUCGCGCGAUCAAAAUCCCCACGCAUUACAAGUGUUUUAUACUCGAUCAAACUAAGGAGUAAAGUAUACCCCACAACACUGCAAUUAAAAGGUACAUUAGCCACAGAACUUGUGUAUGAAAACUACAUGUGAAAUUUAGGUAACAAAGAUGAACUCACUUAAAUUGCUUAUCAAUAAGAUAGACACGGCUUUGGUUUGCAAGAUAUCCUAGUAAAUACAUUGGCCUAUCCAAGUGAAACAAGGUUGUGACCUGUAACACAUGAAAUGGUUAUGACAUGAAAGCUCAAAAGAUAUAUAGGAUGUUUUUGUAAGUGACGAAAAAAACUCACCUCUCCUCCUACACAGUAAUUAAGCCGCCAUGAAGAAUUAUUGUAGAUGAAGCAAUCGCCAACCCAUAGCCCAGUGCGGACACGUUCAUUGAUCUCAUGAAGCAGUUCAAAGGCAUCUUCCACACCUUCCUCACCAGCUGAACCCCCUCCAUCCAAAUGAGAUGAAACUACAUCCCUCUACAAGGUAAAAGGAAACUUUUAUAUUAGUACAUUUCCAUUUGACCAAAAAAUAAUUGCUUCUUAAUUUGACAUAAAAAAAAAGACACAAGAAAUGUCAACGGAACAUAGGUAAUUGAGGUAAUGACAGAACUCACAUUAUAUUUCAAAAUGUAGAAUGACGUAUCACUUGCAAUUGUUACUAAAUCACCACUGUCGGCCCAGUAAAGAUUCUACACAAAGAAACAUGUUUUCAGUGGCACCACAUUUCAAAUGGCAUGAAUGUAAAAAUAGCUUUGAAAUAAUAAGGCAGCAAAUUCCAUACCUUCACAUUGACAUCAAUUCGACGUAUCAAUCUGCAAUCCACCCAAUCAUAGAAGCAAAUGAAGUCAUUUGUACACAUAGCAAGUAACACUCCACCAAAUAUCCGUUCAGCAGAAAAUGAUGGCCUUAUACUUUUCUUCUCCUGAAAAGACCAACUCUAGUUAACAGACUAUGUUCCAGGAACCCAUAACAAAAGAGAAUGGUGUAUGGAGUAUAGUAUGGUGGUUGCAAUUCAUUUAACAAUUUAGUUUGGAGCAGCACAGUAAAAUAGUUAUUUUACCUUUCCAUCAAACUUAACAAAAAAAGACAACACAAACUACAGUACAGUUUAUUUCAUAGCGUCUAUAGUUCAUUAUAGAAAAUAUUGAGGCUACAAAUUGGAUAUGAGGGCCAAUUGACCAUCUUUUAUGGCAUGACUAAGCAUGUUACCAGGAACAGGUACCCUACGGAUGUUUGUUUUAUAGAUAUAACUAAACAAAACAGUGUGCCAGGGAGAAGUGAAAUAUGUUAUACUCAAACAAACCUGGAAAUUUUUAGUGUAUAUCUUUAUCCUCGAGGUGCUUUCUCUGAUGGCAUAUUCUCCAUCAGUUGACCAAACAACUUCAAGUGCGGUCCCAAAUGAUUUGUUUCUCCAUGCUAAUGCUGUGUAUAUUAUGUAUUCUCCAUCUCCGCAUACAACAACAAAUCUCCCAUUCGGAUUGUGCCUUAAGCUCUGAAACAAAUAUUGCACCAGUAUAUUAUUAACGUAAACCAGCACAAAUAAAAUAUGCAUGACCACAAAAAAAGUAUAAAAAAAUCAUGAUGGUUCAAACAUUCAAUGUUGUUCGAAAGAAUGAGCCAUUACCCCCUACCCAUAAACUGCCAUAGGCAUUUUUAUGGUCCCACUAAGUUACAGAGAACUUUAUUUGCACAAAUGAGCUUUCACUGAGCAAGAAGCAUUUCAUUUUGGUAUUUGAGUUUAACGAUAUUAUACUGAAAAAUGCAGCUAAAUAAACAAAAUAUCCGGAUGCAUUUCCAAAAAUACAAGAUGAAUGUAUUAUCAUGACACCAUGUCUAUGUUACUUGGACAUUAAAAAGAAAAAAAAAAUAGAACUAAGUUUCAAGUAUUUAGUUGACUUGUGAUGAAGAAGAUCACAACUGAAGCAUCCAUUUUAUCACAGGUAAACUUACUUGUGGAUAAAGAUCGCAGCUUCCCAACUCCUUCACGGCCAACGGUAACCGAUCACCAUCUGCGAUCUAAAAAACGAAACAGUUAAGGACCACAGAGAAACCUUAUAAUAAGCUUACUAAGUUUACAUCGCAAGGUGAACAAAGGCAACCUCAUUGUCUGCACCAACACUCUUGAUAUUAACAGUUUGGAUUUCAUUAUGCUUUGCCCAUAUAAUUUUCCCACUACUAUCCAUGCUAGCAACAGGAACUUCACGACCAAUUUUUAUCAUUAUUGUCCCUUCAUCAUAUCCAAUCACGACCCUACACAAAAUAAGAUAUUCCAUAUCAUUAACUUGACUUGUGCAGGAAAGAACAAGUCAAAGAAAACCACACACAGCAUGUUUCAGUGAGAGCAAUUCGUUAAGAAAUAGUUAGGCAAAUAAACAAUUUUAUUGUCACAAUGUAUGAAAAUGGGAUAUGAAAAAAGGUAUGGUACUUCCAUAAGACAGUUGAGGAAAUGUGGAGAACACAGCGUGUGCAGUAUUACUGAGCUGUGGAUCUGUGGAGCCCUUGAUAGCAGAUUACAAGAAAUGGCAUUUGGUGUCAGACACUUCAAUAUGGAGAGAGAGAGAGAGAGAGAGAGAGACUACCUUCUUGACCCUUUCAUAUAUCCUAAAGCCCAAACUCGCUCAAGGCCAUAGUUAAGAGUGUUCUCAAGCCUGUAAAAGCAUCAAGAAAAUCAUUAGUCUCUUGUUGGCUUGUUCUAUAACCAAAAAAAAAGUAUUAGUUGCAUGGAAAAAGGAUUGUAAUACUAUUCUAAACCAUGAGUACAAAACAGCAGGUCUUCAUAUAUCACGAGUUCCGGCAUCAAAAAGUAGUUCCAUAAUUUUAUAUGACAAAAUGAAAAUAAUUUUUUUUAAAAAAAAAAAACUCUUCUCAAAACUGCAGGAGAAAGCAUAACUCCAAGAACCCCUUUUUUCUCAUCACCUCAUUGUUAAAGGAGCUAAUCAUUUCAACAGCUUAUGGACUAAGCUAUUAUAGUCAUGGUGUCAUGAUGGUUUAAUGUUCAACAAUUAGUGCCAGGUGUGAUACCAAUCAGCAUAAGGUUAGAACCAAUCAUGUAUCUCAUUCACCCCUAUUUAGUUGCAGUGUUUUCUCUGUAUGUGACUGAUUUUUACUGUAUGUUGCAAUACAAAACAAACAGUGCAAGUUAAAUCUCCUGCUACUGUAACCCUGCCACCAAACUUUUUUUGGGAAGUCAUGUGUACUUAAUCCAUGACAGAAAGUACUGUUGGCUGAUUUGCUGUGAGAGAAAAACACUGCUGACUGACUAGCAGAUUCGGCUGAUAAGCUCAAGCGAACAAGGCUAACAAAAUCUCCUGCUACUAUAACCAACAAUUGAACAUUUGAACUCUAGAAUUGUCGCAAAGUUAAACCUCGGAUCAAAUAGCAAAAGAGGCUAUCACAGAAACUGCUGAUGAACUUUAGUGUUUACCAGAUUUGGCCUCAAAAUGAAAGCACACUUGCAUAUACAUAUAUAAGCAAGUGAUGGCAGUGAUACUAAAUAAAUGAGUAGCAAUACCUGUAGGUAGUAGAAUGCCACAUUCGAACUGUCCCAUCCUCUGAACCAGUAAUUAUUAUAGGUAGCUCUGGAUGGAAACAUACAGCAGACACAUUAUGUGCAUGUCCUUCAAGUGUUUGAACGCAACUCUUUGUUUGGUAGUCCCAAACCUGAUUUUCACCAAUAAUGUCAUCAGUGUACAAUAAAUGAUCACAGGAGUACAAUUCAGUGCAUAUGACAAACCUUUGCAGUCUGAUCAUCAGAGCCAGUAAUUAAGUAUGGUCGAUCACCACCGGUGAAGUAAUCAACACAGUUCACACCUUUUGAAUGGCCAUCUAGUGUGAAAUUUGGGUCAGGGGAACCAAGACUCCAUAUCUGAUAUUGACAAAAAUUAGGAUAUCACCAUUAAGUUAUGAAAAAGCUAAUGGCAGCAAAUAAUACAAUAUUGUGGCCAACCAGAACUUUUAAAGCAGAGAUAACACAAACCUUUAUUGUGCGAUCCAGGGAAGCACUGGCAAAGGUGUUGGUAUCUUUUGGGUUAAAUGUAACUUGCAUCACAUAGUGAGAAUGCCCUUCGAAUAUUUGAGUACACACCCAGCCUUUAUCCCAAUCCCACAGCUUAAUCAGCAUGUCAUCGGACGAUGAUAGCACAAAGGGCUGGGUUGGAUGAACAGCCACACACCUAAUGUAAUCAGUGUGAGCUUCAAAAACCUUGACCUUGUCCAUUGUGUUAUAGUUGUACACACGGAUGAACAUAUCGUCAGCACCAGCAACAACCCAUUGCUUACGUGCAAUAAAUUUAGCCGAACGAACUGAAAUUGUUAAAGAAUAUUAGCAUAGCAUGAUGUAAACUUCAGGGAAGAGAAGCAAGCAGAAAGUUGGGUGAGCGUACCUGGUAAAUCCGUGACUUCAAAUGAUUUCACCAUUGUCUGGGGACGAGUUGAUAAAAUGCCAUCAGUUAAAGUUUAUGACCAAACCAACUAGGUAAUAUUUCUGGACUUUAAAAGUAAUGAGAUCAUGGAUUCACAAGGUGUGCAUGUUUCUCUUUUCUUCCUUCCAGUACUGGGGUUUAAUUCUGUGUUUGCUCUAUUCCAUUCCUUAUUCUUCCUUCCAGUACUUGGGUUUAAUUAUGUGUCUGCUCUAUUCCAUUCCCUAUCUGUGGUCCACUAGUCUGUCAACCAUUUACAAGCUGCAUAUAAAUUCAGCACAUGCAACUAAAACCCAUCCAUCUCAGCAUCCAUCAGGGAGGUGCUUGUAACUUUUGCCCUAAGCCCCUAACCAUUACGCUUUUUGCAAAUGCAAUUAAAUCCAAAUUGUUCCUAUUAGUUUUAUGUAACCACUAGUCUUUCCCAUACUCUAUUGCUGGCAUAUCACUAAGUUCAUUAUUGUGUGCACCCAAUAUGCCCGCGCCUUGAGCUCUAUAGUAAAUGCAAUGUAUGCAAGUAAUGGCUAAUCAUUAUGGGAAGAUAUCUAGUGCAAACCACAACUUUCGUGAAAACCUGUGCAAACCAAGGCAAAAAAGUCAUCUAAAUUUACCAAAAAAAUCACACAUGUAGAUGAUAUGAUGAUACACAACCUUGUAAAAUAUCUUGUCCAAACUCAAAUUCAUUUGUGAGAUAUAAAAAUAACAAAUUUCUAGCAAAUUCUGUGGACACCUUUCUGGCUUGAAAUUUGUUAUUUUUAUAUCUCACAAACAAAGUUGAGUUUGGACAAGAUAUUUUACAAUGUUGUGUAUUAUCAAAUCAUCUACAUGUGUGAUUUUUUUGAUGAAUUUAGACAACUUUUUUGCCUUGGUUUGCACAGGUUUUCAUGGAGGUUGUGGUUUGCACUAGAUAUGUUCCAAAUCAUUAUAGCGUAAAACGUUCAUCCAACAACCCAAUUUAGUAUAAAAUAAUAGGCAUAAGCUACCGUGAAGCAUGAACAAUCACCUACCUGAGUCUGGUAGUUCCAUACACAAACGCUUCCCGAGUACAGACUCGACAAAAUCCUGCAUUCCGCCACAUAGCAUAAUGUGAUUAGCCAUGGUUCAGACGAAGCACUCAUAAUUCACGUAGCGUUUCGGUACACAAAACCAGCCACUCACCAUGGCUCUGUCGGAUGCAGAUCCACGGACUUCACCCUCUCGGACCUCUGCGCGAGCUUCCUCUGAUCCAAGCAAACAGAGAACCACCAUCAGCGACGCGGCCCAAAAGCAUUUACCGCCGAGACAAAACGAGGAGCAGAAAGCCAAACGGAUCCGAGGAAGAUGGGUUGAGAUUACCUUGAUAUCCAACCGGAGCGGCUGCCGGAGCACGCCCAUCGCCCGCCCACCAACACCACAGACAGAGAAAAAAAAAGGCAAUCACAUCAGUACACAACGCCAGAAAGCACCAGAUCCACGCAGAUUUCAACCAGCCCCGCCGCGGAUCUCGCUACCUCGCGAGCCGCCGCGCCACAGCCCAACGGGCGCGAUCUCGCGUACGCGGCGGCGAAGUAGCAAGGCGGGAGCUGGAAGAGGUGUUCGGUGCGGAAGACGAGAGAGAGAGAGAGAGAGAGAGAGAGAGAGAGAGAGAGAGAGAGAGAGAGAGGCACGUGCACGUACCAUGGUGGCGCCCGCGACGGCUACGGAGGCAGCGGCGAGGCGAGGAGCGCGACUGGCGGAGGUGCGGCCGUGGAGGCGGCGCUUCUAGGGCUUGCGUAGCGAGGGGGCGGGUGGGAGUGUGAGGAGCGCGGCCGCGCGGGCGGUGGCCUCUCGCCGGACCGGGAGGUGCAGGCGCGCCGCGCGGGGAGAGGGGAGGAGAUUUGCGAGUGCGGGCCUGCGGGGGGAGACGAUUCCGGUGGAGAGGCGAGUGGAGACUGGAGCCCAAUUUUUUACAAUUUGAUUCUUUUUUUUAAAAAAAAAUUCCUUUUUCAUCCUAGAAAACCUAAACGCAGUUUUGGACCCAUGGCGUCGACCCCAUGGGUCCAAAACUGCGUUUAAGUUUUCCAGGGGUCUAAAAAGGAUUUUUUUUUCAAAAAAAGAGCCAAAUUGUAAAAAAUUAGGGGACUGGAGAGUGGAGAGGUAGCAAACGGGCUAACGGGUCUCGUAGCUACUGUGGAUUGGAUCCUCCGUGUGUUUUUUGGUUGGCCUUUUUGGAUCGUGGGUUUGCGUGCAUAAGGGUUUAGCUAGGCUUGUGGAAUGUAACCUGAAACUUAUUUCGUUGGCUGGAUGGCCAGCUAGCCAAGCUCCAGCAAGCCCAAAUCAAGGGAUUUAGUUUUCUUGAUGGAAACAACCGAUUCGGUUGUUCUCCGCAAGCCUAGCUUGGCCAGCCCUCGCAGCCGUAUCCGCUCACCUCGAGCGCAGCAGGCUCGUAUCCGCAGACCGAUGCGACCUCGACGUCUUCCUCGCGUCAGCAGCCGUGCGCGACCCGUGCGCCGGCAAUGACAACUUCACCGCCCUCUCGGCUGCCUUCCCACGGGCGCUCUCCGCCCGGACCCCCCCCUCCUCCCUCCCUUCCUUCUCAACCUCUGUGCCACUGUCCCCGUUCACGUCCGCCUCGCCGGCUCCUCCUUUCUGGCCUCCUCCGGGCGGUCCCUCCCUUCCGUCGUCAACACCGCCGUCUCAUCAGCUCACUUACUCUCCAGCCGCCGCCCACACCAUCUCGCGGUCUCCCACACCCUCCACCUUGAUGUCACCAGCCCCGUCGCGGCGUCCAAGCUCACCUCGAGCCCGUAUCCGCAGACCGAUGCGAACAACACGAGCGCAGCAGGCUCAUCCGCGCCCUCCGCCGUGAAGAACGCGAGCGCCUCAGGCCCUCGAGCUGCCUCUGCCCACCUCUUCAUCGACCUGUCCGUCGUCGGUGACCCCAACAACCUGCACGGGAAGAUGCGCGGCGGGAUGGGGCGCCUCGCCUCUCCCCCUCCCCCGACACCUCCGCCGGGAUGGGCGCCUCGCCCCUCCCUCUCCCCUGACACCUCCGCUGGGAUGGCGUGACUCGCCCCUUUCAGAUCGGCUGAGAGCUCGGCCUCUAAGCCUUCUGGUCCUCUGAAAGCCUAAGUUUGGUUUUAGUAAUUAAUGACACCAAGUUGCUAAUGCUUUAUGUUUAAGUGAACUGAGACAGACAUAGCAACACAUAUGAUGAAGGUGCAAGGUGCCAUAAAAAGGUGGUCACAUGAUCACAGAGAGAUAAAGCAUAAAGUGGAGAUCAUGGUGAUAAACAAAGAGUAAAGUGAACAAGGCAAAGGUAUAAACAUAGGGUUUUGCUUUUGCCGGUCUUAGUUGAGUAGAGAAGUGAUUGACCGGAUUUAGGAUUGAUAGCCGACUAUCAAGAGGGGAAAUCACGGUCAUCUCUUGAAUCAAGUGCUACUAUGUCCAUAUCUUGAGCAUAUGCAUUAGGAUCUAAUAAAAUACUAACCUAACUCCUUUGGGAAAAUAUUUGUGAAAUGUUAACACACAUGCACAUUAGUGGUGGACACUUGUUGGUGUUAGCACAUUUGCAAAGGAGGUAGAGUUUAUAGGGUUGAGAGGGGUUUGGGUUCCUCUCUCCCUCCCGCCGAGCUUGAGAGGCGGGAUUCGACGCUUUUAAGAAAAUUAAGUGUAUAUUUUCUAUUUGCGCCGGUGGAAAAUUUGGGAAAGUCGCGGGAGUGCUGGAUGUAGUGCGCGGAGGCACCGGACGCUGACCCUAGCGUCCGGUGUGCUGUCAGUGCGUGGCCCGGUUAGGGUUAAGCACCGGACGCAGGGUAUUCCCUGUUCGCGCGUCCGGUGUGGCCUGUCUUCAGCUGAGGUUUUCUAACAAGGCACCGGGUGCACUGGAGUGAGUCCGGUGCUCAGCGUCCGGUGUUAGUGCGGUUUGUAGACCUCUCUGCGCACGAGUCCAGUGAGGUCGUGAGUUUCACAAACUCUCUGCGUACGAGACCGCUGAGUACCGGACGCGUCCGAUGCUCACUUGACCGCGUCCGGUGGUCCGCAUGUGACCAUUGGAGUUCAACGCGCGAGAUUCAAAGAGUUGACACGUGGCCAACACCAGAGCACCGAACGUAGGGGGUCGAGCGUCCGGUGGCUCCCUGUGGUGAGUCCAGUGCCGCCGAUUUCAGCCCAAUGAAAAUGGCCAACGACUCUUUUGUUGAGGGGGAUUAUAAAUAGGAGGUGACCAUCUUUAGAAGGUUCUCUCUUGCACAUUUGAUUACUUGAGGCAUACAUUAAGCUAAAGAACACUCCCUCCACUCAUCUCCUUGCUUGAUUGCUAAUCCUAGUGAGAUGAGUGAGAUUCAAGUGCAUUGCUUAGUGAGUUGCAUCUAAUGUCACUUGAUUCUUGAGUUUGCUGCAGAUUUCUUGUUACUCUUAGGUGUUUCCCGACACUCUAGACGGCUUGGAGCAGCGGUGGUGUUGAGCUCGUGAUUGAAGAUUGUUUCGAGCCUCGCCAAGUGAUUUGUGAGGGGUUCUUAAGCCUUCUCCGCGGAAGAUUGCAAUUGGCUACUCUAGUGGAUUGCUCGUGGCUUGGAGGAUCCCCAUCUUAUGAGUGGAUGUGCGACACCCGCUGAGGGUUUGGCUUUGGAUUACCAAUUAGCUCGUGAUCCAUCAAGUGGGUGUAUUGCCACAACAAGGACUAGCUUGCCGGGAAGCAAGUGAACCUCGGUAAAAAAUCUUGUGUCAUCUCUUGCCGAAGAUUCUCCUUGUGAUUGUGAUUGUAAGUAAUUGAUUGGAUAUAUCUCUACUCUACAACGUUGGUAUAACAAUCACACUCCUCUCCAUUACUUUCUUGCACAACUUACUUGUUGUAUAGCUUGUGUAGCUUAGUCUUCUUACAUAGGAGUGUAGUUAACUUUAGUUGUGCUUUGUUGUUGUGACUUAGUGUUUAGCCUUCUUGCUAGACUUGUUUAGGUGGCUUGCAUAGCUUAGUUGAGUUAGUGCUAGAAUAGCUUCACCAUUUGUUUUUACUAAUCAACUUGUCUAGUUGAGUUUGUAGAGAAUUUUAAAUAGCCUAUUCACCCCCCUCUCUCUAGCCAUUUGGACCUUUCAUCCUCUUCCAUCUUUUCGACUCGGCCUUCUUCUCCAGCUCGCAGCUCAUAGCGGCGUGGUGGCCCAUUGCCAUGGUUGCCGAGGUGCUUAUCCACCAUGCCCACAACAUGUUCGACUAAAGUUCUGAAAGGGGGUAAAAUUAUCAGGUGAAGAAAGAGGUGAGUCUAUUCAAACUAAACCAGGCAACCAAACACACAUAUUCUUAGCCAAGCUUAGCCAGUACAUGCAACCAAACAUGUGCUACUUGCAUUAGUUAAAGCUGGCCAGAGCUAGCCUGUCUUAGUUUUGCUAGCAGGCUUGUCUAAGAAACGAACCAAGCACACCCGUAGUGAUUAAGCAAAGAUGGGUAGGUGUCUUUUAAAGUUCAAGGGCAACUAACAUUAGAUGGUUUUAAAAUUUUGAAAUUAGAUUGUUAUAGUCUCAAAAUUCAAACUCUAUUAUCUUUGAUUAGUAAUUAGUUCAAUUGCAUAAAAAGUUUAUAAUACGGUAGUGGUUACAUUAGGCUUGUAUUUAGAAAUACUUUCUAAUGAUCAGAAUUUUAUUAUAUAAUACAUUACUAGUAUAGAUAAUAAGAAAAAAGACUGUGAUAAGUUGAAUCAUAUCUCAUAUUCUAGAACGGAUAGUAUAAAUAAAUUGUCCCUGGACGUUAUUGGUUGCAGUUUAUCCGAGAGAAGAUAUCUUAUGCAUUGGAGUUGACGUUUCAUGAUAGAAAAUCAAAUUGAUUCUAGUGCAUGCAAAUUAUAAGAGCAUGUUCAACAAUUUAGCAAAUGACUUUUAUAUCUAUAAUUUUUUUAGCAAAAUAAAAAAAUAAACUCUCUCUCACAGUUUGGUAUCUCAAUUCUCUAUCUUUUCUAUCUUGAUAUAUCACUUUGUCUAGCGCGCAAAUAUACGUGCAGUCUUCGUGCUUGGCGUUGGUCUUUCUCCUUAUGCUUAGUGGGGCCCUUUAUUUCGUUAGCGGAUUUUUAGGUUUUUAGAAACGAAUUUUUGUCAAACUGUUAGAGAUGAGAUCUUUUUUCUUCCUCAUAUUAUUUGGGAGUUGGCAAACAACAAUAUUUGGAGGCAUCUCCAACCGUUUUGGCAAAAUUUGUUUUCCAAAUCUUGAUGUUUGCCAACUCUCAAAAUAAGAGCAUCUCCAGGAGUUUAAGAGCAACUCCAAUAGUUUGGCAAAAAAAACUUGGCAAAUCUAGGCAUUUGGCAAGUGACUAAAACACAUAUAGCAAGUCAAAAAAAUUAGUAUAUCCAAAAAUUUGGCAUUUGGGCUUGACAAAAUUAGGCACAAGCACAAGCACACACACAUUUACGUGUUGCAGAUAACAUUUUCAUUGUUGAAUUGUGAUUGAAACAAUUUUUGGUUCAACUAUAUUCGGCCAUCAGCUCUUGCAUGAAAUAUGCACUUGCAUCAGCUCUGAAUGUGUGAAUGUGUGUGUGCUUAUAUUGACAGCCGUUUCAUCAUUGCCAAUCAUAUGCUUAGAUGCAUGGCCAAUCGCCUGGCAAAAAACGACAGAAACAGGUGUUGUUCCGGCGAACUGGAGCUGCAACUUCUUAGCCUGACGCGGGCAGGGAAGCCGAUGCCAAGUGAACCGGACCGUGCAAACAUUUAUGUGUUCAUCCGAAGGAUGCCAAGUGCGCAAAUUUUGCCAAGUGAAUUGCCAAACGGUUGGACCACCAUGGCGAACUGGAGCUGCAACUUCUUGGCCUGACAAGGGAUGCCGAUGCCAAGUGAACCGGACCGCGCAAAUAUUUAUGUGUUCACCAGAAAGAUGCCAAGUGCGAAAAUUGUGCCAAGUGAAUUGCCAAAUUGUUGGGCCGUGGUUUUUCAAGUUUUGUCAAAAAUCUAAGAAUAGCAAGUGCUUUUGCCAAACUAUUAGAGUUGCUCUAACAACUUCCUACCUUAAUAUUUUAGUAAAAAGAGAAAAAAAAUUUCCUCCAACAGUUUGGUAAAACAGCUUUUAAAAAAUAGAAAGUUCAACUCAUUAAUUCCAUAUUCUCUUUGAAUCUGUUUUCACGUCAUUUCUGAUAUAGUCCUCUCAUUCGACUAAGGGUCUGCAGCACUCAGCGGGACAGACAUGCAUCGAAGCCCUCGAGAGAAUGUGUUUCAUACAACCAGGUGGUGUAUUUUGUCGGCCGUAAUCUGUUGUACAACUUGUUUCCAAAGGCUUAAUGAUCGAAUGUAACUCUGUUUUAGAGGGCCUAAGCCCUAAGCUGCUUUCAGCCUCAUUCCUUGUAUAUUGUGCCUGGCGUUCUGCUCGAAUUGCAUAGUAUGUAUAUUUUGUGUUCCGUAGUUGUCUUGGACAGUAUCAGCUCAUGUUUUUAGUACAAGUCGUUUUUAGUGCAGUUGGCUAUUCAAUUUAACGUGGAUGAUAAGUACUGUAUACUUAUCAGAUGUAUAAUCGUGAUCAAUCAAUUUUGUGGUUUCUUUUACUUAGUAGUAUCACUUAAUUUUGUGUGAUCUUUUGUAAGGGUUCUAUUUCUUGUGGAACUCAUCAUUCACCAAAAAGUUAAUUUUAAGAUUCUUUAUCAUAUUAAAUCUUUGAACACAUGCAUUAAAUAUUAAAUAUAGAUAAAAAAAUAAUUAUUGUAUAGUUUGUCUGUAAUUUGUGAGAUAAAUUUUUUAAACCUAGUUAGUCCAUUGUUGAAUAAUAAUUAUUAAAUAAUUUUUUGAGCAUGUUAGUUUAUGUUUAGAUAAUAAUUAUUAAAUACAAACAAAAGUGCUACGAUAACCGAAUAAAAAAACGCGAACUGGAGUGUUUGGGACUACUCUACAAACUCCACUGUGAAGUAGCUCCAUAAAAAACUAGAGUUUGCGGAGUACCUUUUUAGGUGCUUUCACAACUCCACCUUUUUUUCCUCGAACUGAGUGCGUAGAGAACUGAGUGCGUAGAGCUGAACCGUUUGGCUAAAUAACAUAAAGCGGAGCUAAAAAAACGUGAGACAAAACAAUCCCAAACACCCUCUAAACAAGGCAAAAGUUCGCGAACGAAACAAGGCCUUGGUAAUGCACUCCGGGUAACUCAAAUCAAGUGCUUACAAAUGAGCCCAAUUUGGCCGAGUUUAAUAGCCCGGUUAGGCCAAAUCCCUAGACGUAGAGCUAGCCUUGCCUAGCCUCCUGUCUGCUGUCACGUAGCUAUAAUACCUACUUAUGACUCAGGAAAUAAUUUCCAGCUUUGCCGCCACUGUCACUCCGGCCAGAUAGCUGCACAACGGAGUCGGAUAUAGAAGUAGCCAUCACAAACAAAACAUAGCACAACACAAAUUGCUCACAAUUAACUAAACACGCUAUUGAAAACAUAUGCUGUAAACUUAUUAUUCGCUAGCACUGAAAAGGUGUAACACUGAUACAAAGCUCCCAAGUCCGAUGUACAUCACAGGUAAAACAUUCUCAGUUCGACAAGCUACUACUCUAUGUACCCUGUAAAAUAUCACUCCUCCGAUCACCAGUCAUAUCCCAUCUCGGUGAAACAAGAGUACCUCUGAUGAUAAGCUAUAAAAUGUCUUCGAGACCUAAAGACCUGAUCUACAUGUAAAAAAGGAAGCACAAAAUUUCCUAUAGGGCACAAAGAUGAAGUGUUAAGAAAAAUGGCUUGCAUGUACUCUAGAUAGCAGUCAGCAACCUGCAAUAAGAUUGGUUACUUGUAUUAUAGUUUUAACAUGACUAAAAAGGUUCUAUGGUACAUGAGUAAUUGUUUACUUGGAAUAGCAUCUGAC